rnacentral:lncRNA from 1 species
CUGGAUUUUCUAUGGACCUACACAAUUUUUCCUAUUUCACCUAGGGGGCCUCAGUGGCCGAGGGGUCUAAGUACUUAGUAGUUACUACUGUAAUCACUAGCCAGUCAACACUGGGGUUGUGAGUACAAACCCCGCUCAUGCGGGUGCACUCAACUCCAAUCUUAAUUGACUAGGAUUGUCAGUUUUCCUAUCAAAGGUCGUGGUUUUCUCUGGGCCUUCCGACUUCCUCCACCAAUAAAAACUGGCCGCCAUGAAAUAGCCUUAAUACGGUGCUUAAAAGUGGCGUUAAAACACCAAAAAUCAUAAUAAAAUCCUAUUUCACCCUUUUACCUUUUGACACCGUAAAUAUUAAACAGUAAGAAACAAAACAAAAAUCACAACCAAAUAAUUUUUUUUUGUCGUCUGCUGUUGAACAAAAAUGUGGAAGUGAACAUAGGAUUAGAGUAAAGGAAAUGUCUUUAAAAGAGAAAUGUUUUAAUAACCAAAUAUUUUGUCCUUUUAAAACCUCCUUAGGGUGGUAUAUAUCAAUGCAAGAUUAUUUUUUUAUUUUUGAAAUAUGUAAUUUAUACUUAUUUCUUGUUAUUGCUGGUUGUUAUUGCCAGACCCCAAAUGUUAUAAAUAUUAUUUCAAUGCAAAAUGUCAGAGUGGUGCAAAAUUACUUAUAUACUUUUAAAUAUAUGUUAAUUUCUGUUGAUUGUGUCAUGUAUGUAGUAUUGAUAUUUCAUUGCCUUAUAAAUAAAGAACAAUUUAUCUUUGUUUCAAAAAGAUUGUAGUUUUUUUUUAAUCUAUAGUGUAUU